UCCAUUUGUCUGUGUUUCAACGUGGUUGAGUGGUCGACCUUUGCCCAUCUCCAGUGGUCUACCGCUCCCUUCCCUCCACCUGACCCCACUCACAUAGUCUUGCUAUUUCUUGUUUUCAUCUAUGUCUGGUAUGGAACAGUUCCUACUCUGCUUUUUUCUUUUCUAGAUUCAUAAUGGUUCCUAUGAGACAAAAGCUGAGCUCAUCAUCUUCCUACAAUAUCACCUCUCAACUGAGCAUACUUCCUGUCUCUGGUUCUGGGCAAUUUCCAAUAUUUUUAGAUAUCUAUUCAUAAUUGAAUCCCUCCCCUCAUAUUUAGCAUAUGCUGGAUAAGGAAGAAAUAUCUAAUGGUUUCUGGAUCUUAAAUGCCCUACCAAAGUACACGUAUCGAAGGCUUGGUUCUUCCAGAAUCAAGGUCUCUGGUGACCACUAGCUGGUGUUCCCUUAUGAACCAUCAAUCAAAAUGGAAUGACAUGGUUAAAUCCUAGCUGCAAGAGAGUCAAGAAAGGUCCCAGAACUGAUGGGCAUUCCAGGCUAUGCUGGCUCUGACCUCUAUGAUUGACCACAUGUUCAAAGACUCCUACUUGGCGUCGCCAUAUUCUCUGAUGGAACAAAUCCAAGCUAUUGACCAAGAGGAGGACCAUGGUACCAAAGAGAGUUGGAGUGAUGUCAUACAAGACCUGCUGACGGCUGCAGAACUGAGAUGGAUGGCUGAUGAUCAUAAAGGCAGAAAUUGUAGUCUAAUUUGUAAUGAUCAAAGCAGUCUAAGAAAGGAUUGGGCUAACUCGGGAUGUGAUAAGCUCCCUAUUGCUGAAGCCUUCACCACAGUGCUCACAGCACUCAGCACGCUCUUCAACUUGGACAAGAAGACUUACAAGAAAUUGCUCGACUAAAAUGUGUUCAUUAGCUUGAAGCCCCAUCUGAGUAGACUAGAUUCUCUAUGAAAAGGGAAAUCAGGGUACAUAGACACAAGAGAUGCCCACAAGGAAGAAAGGCCACAUAAGAAUUUGGGGGUAGAUGGCCAGCUAGAGCCUCAUGAGAAACUAAGCCUGCCUGACAGAUUGGACUUGCAAUUCCAGAAUACAGAAC
rnacentral:sRNA from 1 species